UACGAAGGGGGCUAGCGUUGCUCGGAUUGACUGGGCGUAAAGGGCGCGUAGGCGGUUCGUACAGUCAGACGUGAAAUUCCUGGGCUCAACCUGGGGGCUGCGUUUGAUACGUGCGGACUUGAGUGCGGAAGAGGGUCGUGGAAUUCAUGGUGUAGCAGUGAAAUGCGUAGAGAUCAUGAGGAAGACCAGUGGCGAAGGCGGAUCUCUGGACAGUUCCUGACGCUGAGGCGCGAAGGCCAGGGGAGCAAACGGG
rnacentral:rRNA from 1 species